UGCUAGCUCCAUCUGUGAAAAUUGCAGUGCUGAUCAGCCCAAUGUCUUUGGAAUAUUGCUAGGAUUUUUCUUUUUUCAGCUACCGCCUGGCUCCUUCAACCUUGGUUUCUCAUCCAAGUCAUAUCUUUGGCUUUCUUUUUCUCUCUUUAGGGGUUUGGUUGAAAAUUUUCCAAUGGCGCAGCAGAAGAUUCAGAUCAAGAAGAUUGACAACACAGCAGCAAGCAAGUAACCUUCUCAAAGAGGAGAAGAGGGCUUUUUAAGAAAGCACAGGAGCUCUCAACACUGUGUGACGCUGAGAUAGCGCUUAUUGUCUUCUCAGCAGCAGGAAAGCUCUUUGAGUAUUCAAGCUCAAGCUGGAGAACAGCACCUUUGCAGUCUUGAGCGAAGAAAUUGCCCAAACAAUUAUCAUACUUCCAUUCACUUUCUCCAUUACAUACCACAUUGUAAUUCGGAGACAUAAUCUCAUCUGCAACAGGAAAAUGAGAGGAGAAGAGCUCCAGGGAUUAAAAAUAGAAGAAUUGAUUGAACUAGAGGAAUUGCUUGAAGCUGGUCUGUGCAGCAUUGUGGAAGAAAAGGCUGAAAGAAUUCGAAGAGAUCAGUGACCUCCAGAGAAAGGUCAAGAACCUAACUUCGAAAUUUUCCAAGGCAUUCCAUAUACAAAUUUUUAGAAUAAAAGAGAAAACUAAAGAAAAUGGAGACUAGCUAGUAUCAGGUUUACAUUGAAAAUUUUCACUUUGUGAUUGGUUCUUAAGUGAUGAUUUCCACCAUUUAUGAUGCUUCCUGGCUCUUUUAACCUUUUGUUAGAAGUCUUAAGCAAUGCAUCUGUUUACGGAAAAAAAUUAAUUACUAUUGCAACUGCAGUAGUGCCAAUACAUGUUGUAAUAAGUCCAUAAAGAUCAGGUUUGCUAUUGGAAAUAAAUAUUUCAGGGUAAUUUGCAAAAAGAAGGUUUGAACCUGGAAACUACAACAAAUUCAACAACGGCGAGACCAAUAAAACUCAGGAGGGACUUGGGACUUGUUGGAUUACGCACACUCUGAUAGUGUCACAAUAAUAGGAAUCUAAAGGAACUAUAGAUAAACUGAGAUAUAACCUAGGAUGACGUUGUAAUGAUGGGAAUCCAAAGGAACUUGAGAAAAUCUAAGAUGCAAUUGCCAUGACCGAAAUUGAAGGGUGAUAAAGGAAACCAAGGAUGUGGUCGCCAUGAUUGAAAUCCAAGGAUGAUAAAAGAAAACCUAUGACGCGAUUGUCAUGACUGAAAUCAAAGGAUGCUAAAAUAAACAAAACUUAAGAUGUGGUCACCAUGAACGAAGUCAAAAGAUGAUAAGAUGAAAUCAUAAAACAUACUUAGUUUAUAACCGAAAUCACCUUACACAAACUUGGAAUGAAGGGACACAAUCUACAACUAGAAUCACCUAAAACAUACUUAGAAGGAGAAGAUGCAAUCCAUAACCAAAAUUAUAUAAAACAUACUCAAAAUGAUAGGACAUAGUCUAUGACUCUCUAAGACGAAGGAGUAGCUCAAGACUAAAAGACUUGAUGCCUAAAGGAGAAUGCAUGUUGUGACUUCUACGAUGAAAGAUAAAAACUUGAGGUUGAAAAGCUUAAAGCCUAAGGGAGAACACAAGGUGCGACUCUUAAGAAAAGGAAUAACUUAAGACUAAAAGGCUCGAGGACCAAAGAUGAUUAAAAAGAUGUAGAAGGCACGGAGACUUAAAGAUAGCUGAAUGUCACGGACUUAGUCGUUCACUAAGCUCAUGCGGCACUUAGGAAAGUCAAGACGCUUGAUCUUGCUAAGUUAGCCUUGCUCCCAAUGCUUAGCUUGCUAGGCUAAGAUGCUCACAACUCGAAAGCUUAAGAAGCUUAGCAGACAACUCUUAGAGAAUGGAAGCUCUUAUUACUUAAGGAAACCUUUACAAGUGCUUUAAAGACUCACUUGCUUGGUUAGAAAGUGAUUUGGGUGGUGUCUUGGCCAAAUGAGGCCCUCACCUAUUUAUAGGCACCAAUGGAACUCUCCGGAACCUUGGAGGGUUCCUUACAAAUCAAGAAUAUUCUAGAACUUCCUAUACUAAUCUAUGUACAACACUAUGUACAAGAAUAUACAAGAGAUCUUUAGAAUUUUCUAGAAAGCCUUAAGCUCCUCUCAUGCCUUCCACCAUAGUGUAGAGAUGUGUGGACAUCUCUAGGCAUCUCUAGAACCUUCCAGACUCUUCCCACCAAUGGCUUAGUGUAGAUGACUCUAGGAGUCUCCAGAAGCUUCCCUUCUCCUAUAUAAACCCAUGGGGAGGGUCAUUUGAAGCAUCUUGUGACAUGAAGGUGCAUCUCAAGGCUGAAGGAUGAUUAAAAGAUGUGGUUGGAGGCCGAUUUAUGAUAAGAAAAUGAUGAACUGAACCAAUGACGUGGCGUAAGGCUAAAAGAUGACUAAAGAUAUACUAAAGGCAUGAAGACCUAAAGAUAGUUGUAAAUGUAACUCAAGACUGAAGGAUGAUUUGAUAGCAUGACUUAGGACUGAUCUAUGAUAAGAGAAAAAUCUAAUGAUGUGGCUUAGGGUUGAUCUAUGAUAAUAAAAUGAUAUAAUGGUGCAACUCAUUAUUGACUUAUGAUAAGAAAAAGUUCAACUAAACCAAUUAUGCAGCUUGAGGCCGAAAAAUGACUAAAAAGAUAUACUGAAAGUGCAAAGACCUAAAAAAUUGAAGGUGCGGUUUAGGGCUGACCUACAAUUAGAUAAAGAUAAAUUAAACCAAAGACGCAGCUUAGGGCUGAUCUAUAAAUAAGAAAGAGAUGCUAAAGGCCUUGAGAGCUAUAAAACUAAAGGUACAACUCAGGGCUGAAUGAUGGUUUAAAGGUGCGACUUAGGGUUGACAUACGGCUAGACAAAGACAAACUAAACCAAAGAUGCGACUUGUGGCCAAUCUAUAACUAAGAAAAAGAUGUUGAAGGCGCGGAGACCUAUAAAUCUAAAGGUGCAACUCAAGGCUAAAGGAUAAUAUAAUAGUGCGGCUGGGGCCAAUCUAUGAUAAGAAAAAGAUCUAACGGUGGUUAGGGCUAAUCUUUGAUAAUAAAAAAAUCUAGAGGCACAACUUGAGGUCGAUCAACAACUAAGAUGCAAAUCUGACAAUGUGGUUCAAGGCUGAUCAAUGAUAAGAAAAAUGUGAACUAAACUAGUGAUGCGACUUGAAGCCAAUUUAUAACCAAGAAAGAGAUACUGAAAGUGUAGAGACAUAAAAAUUGAAGGUGCGGCUUAGGAUUGAAGGAUAAUCUAAUCGUAAGGACUCGCACCCAAUCGUGUAGAUAUUAUUUACUUUGAGUCCAAAAGGGCCCUCACGCCUUUAAAACAUCUAUAAGGUUAAGAGAAGCCCAUACAUAUAUAGCGUUAAGAACUUUCUCCUAUAUCUGAUGUAGGAUAUCACAAUCACCCCCUCAUGCAAACACAAUGACUUCAUUGUGUCUUAUCAGAUUACGAGGCCAAACAGAAAUACACCCCUCACGUGGCUAAACAAACCCCUGCAACGGGGUCAGGAAUUAACUCUAAUACCAUUUGUAAUGAUUUGCACUCAAUCGUGUAGAUAUUGUUUGCUCUAGGUUCAAAAAGACCCUCAUGACUUUAAAACGUGUCUACAAGAUUAAGAGGAGCCCAUGCAUGUAUAUAACACUAGAAACUUUCUCCCCUAUCCGAUGUGGGAUAUCAUAAUCACCCUCCUUCCCCUAUGUAGACAUAAUGUUCUCAUUGUGUCUUACAUGAUUGUGGGGUCAAACAUACAAACAUCUCUUAUAGGGCCAAACAAACCCCUAUCUGGGAUCAGGGAUUAAUUUUGAUACCAUUUGUAAAACCUCACACCCAACCAUGUAAAUAUUAUCCUAUCUAGGUCCAAAAGGGUCAGACGUGUUUUAGAGUUAUUAAGGCCCUUUUAGGCCCAAAGCAGACAAUAUCUACACGGUUGGGUAUGAGUCCUUACAAAUGAAAAAUUAAUCAAAUAUCAUUUGUAAUGACCCACAUCCAAUCGUGUAGAUAUUGUCUGCUUUUUGGGGCCUGAUGGCUUUAAAACUCGCUUGGUCCCUUUGAACCCAGAGUAGACAAUAUCUACACGGUUGGGUGUGAGUUGUUACAAAUGAUAUCAAAGUCGAUCCAUGACUUCGGUGUGGGGGUUUGUUUGGCCUCAUAAAUGGUGUUUUUCUAUUUGGUCCCGUAAUCCUAUGAGACACAACGGGGAUAUUGUGUCUGC